rnacentral:rRNA from 1 species
CUCAGUUCGGAUUGGAGUCUGCAACCCGACUCCAUGAGGCUGGAUUCGCUAGUAAUCGCGCAUCAGCCACGGCGCGGUGAAUACGUUCCCGGGCCUUGUACACACCGCCCGUCAAGCCAUGGAAGCCGGGGGUGCCUGAAGUGCGCUGCCGCAAGGAGCGCCCUAGGGUAAAACCGGUGACUGGGGCUAAGUCGUAACAAGGUAGC